GAAAGACCCUGUCUUGAAAUAAAUUUGUUUUGCUUCAAUUUUUGAGACAGGGUCUCACUAUGCAGUUCAUACUGGCCUUGAAUGGACUAUGUAGCCCAGGAUGGCCUUGAAAUUGCAGUGAUCCUCCUGCCUCCACCUCCCGGGUGCUAGGAUUACAGGAGGGAGGUCAGCACAGGCCGGCUACCAGGCACCCUUCCCAGGCUUGCUCAAGGUGGUCUGCAAAGGGGCCGCAGACACAGGGCAGCUGAAAUGCUGCCCUUUGUGGGGAGACCUGCAUCUGUACCAGAAGCAAGUGGAGCGCAGGCAGACUUCCCUUGGUCUAGGAAAGCUCUUGUCACCGGAAGAAGACGCUGGGUUCUGACCCCUUCCCAGAAAGAGAUUACACAAAUGGCCUCCUGACCACUGUCACCUGGAAGACUUUGCAGCCUUGAAGACCGCCUCUGAGGUGCACUGACCUCCCCUCACCCUGUCGUGCCCUUUUGCCACCUACUAUGAGGAGCCUUAAAUUUCUUUUUGUUUUGUUGUUUUUGGUACCAGGGAUUGAACUCAGGACUUCGCGCUUGCAAGGCAGGCUCGGUGCUGCUGUUAAAUU
rnacentral:lncRNA from 1 species